rnacentral:rRNA from 1 species
GGAUUAGAUACCCUGGUAGUCCACGCCGUAAACGAUGAGUGCUAGACGUUGGAAAUUAAUUUUUCAGUGUCGUAGUUAACGCAUUAAGCACUCCGCCUGGGGAGUACGGUCGCAAGAUUAAAACUCAAAGGAAUUGACGGGGGCCCGCACAAGCGGUGGAGCAUGUGGUUUAAUUCGACGCAACGCCAAGAACCUUACCAGCUCUUGACAUUGCUAAGUCGCGAGUUUUAGAGAUAAAACUCUUCAGUUCGGCUGGACUUAGUACAGGUGCUGCAUGGCUGUCGUCAGCUCGUGUCG